rnacentral:rRNA from 1 species
UAGGGAAUCUUCCACAAUGGACGCAAGUCUGAUGGAGCAACGCCGCGUGAGUGAAGAAGGUCUUCGGAUCGUAAAGCUCUGUUGUUGGUGAAGAAGGAUAGAGGCAGUAACUGGUCUUUAUUUGACGGUAAUCAACCAGAAAGUCACGGCUAACUACGUGCCAGCAGCCGCGGUAAUACGUAGGUGGCAAGCGUUGUCCGGAUUUAUUGGGCGUAAAGCGAGCGCAGGCGGAAUGAUAAGUCUGAUGUGAAAGCCCACGGCUCAACCGUGGAACUGCAUCGGAAACUGUCAUUCUUGAGUGCAGAAGAGGAGAGUGGAACCCCAAUGUGUAGCGGUGGAAUGCGUAGAUAUAUGGAAGAACACCAGUGGCGAAGGCGGCUCUCUGGUCUGCAACUGACGCUGAGGCUCGAAAGCAUGGGUAGCGAACAGGAUUAGAUACCCUGGUAGUCCAUGCCGUAAACGAUGAGCGCUAGGUGUUGGGGC